CUUUAAAAAUCUGGAUCAAGCUGAAAAUUGAAACGACACACUGUUUCAUUUCUCCGUAAUAAGAAAUGAAAAAUGGUGUGUUCGAGUCUCUCAAAUUUUCGCAAUCAGAAGUGAAACAUCUUCGG
rnacentral:sRNA from 2 species